UACGAAGGGAGCUAGCGUUGUUCGGAAUCACUGGGCGUAAAGGGUGCGUAGGCCGCACGGUAAGUCAGAGGUGAAAUCCCGGAGCUCAACUUCGGAAUUGCCUCCGAUACUGCCGUGCUUGAGGACUGGAGAGGAGAUUGGAAUUCACAGUGGAGCAGUGAAAUGCGUAGAUAUUGUGAGGAACACUAGUGGCGAAGGCGAAUCUCUGGACAGUUCCUGACGCUGAGGCACGAAGGCCAGGGGAGCAAACGGG
rnacentral:rRNA from 1 species